CUUGCUCUUGUAAAUCUUAGUGGCAAACGGGUGAGUAACGCGUAAACAACCUGCCCAACGGAUGGGGACAACAGACGGAAACGACUGCUAAUACCCAAUAGACUCCGGUUUCGCAUGAAACCGACAGGAAAGGUGGCCUCUCGAAGAAGCUACCGCCGCAGGAGGGGUUUGCGUUUGAUUAGUUAGUUGGUGGGGUAACGGCCUACCAAGACGAUGAUCAAUAGCCGGUCUGAGAGGAUGAACGGCCACACUGGAACUGAGACACGGUCCAGACUCCUACGGGAGGCAGCAGUGGGGAAUCUUCCGCAAUGGACGAAAGUCUGACGGAGCAACGCCGCGUGAGUGAAGAAGGCCUUCGGGUUGUAAAGCUCUGUUAUUCGGGAAGAACGAUUCGUUUGUAAAUAAUGAACGGAAGUGACGGUACCGAAAGAGAAAGCCACGGCUAACUACGUGCCAGCAGCCGCGGUAAUACGUAGGUGGCAAGCGUUGUCCGGAAUUAUUGGGCGUAAAGAGCGCGUAGGCGGUAUGAUAAGUCUGUCUUAGAAGUGCGGGGCUUAACCCCGUGAGGGGACAGAGACUGUCAUACUAGAGUCUCGGAGAGGAAAGCGGAAUUCCUAGUGUAGCGGUGAAAUGCGUAGAGAUUAGGAAGAACACCGGUGGCGAAGGCGGCUUUCUGGACGAGCACUGACGCUGAGGCGCGAAAGCGUGGGGAGCGAACAGGAUUAGAUACCCUGGUAGUCCACGCCGUAAACGAUGGGUACUAGGUGUAGGAGGUAUCGACCCCUUCUGUGCCGGAGUUAACGCAAU
rnacentral:rRNA from 1 species